UUUUGCCUGAGCCGACCUGUUCAGUGAAGGUGAAUCAUCGCAAGUGAAUCGUGAGACCAAAGGGAAGAGAGUACUUGAGAUUUUAAGCAAUCGAGGUUGAGCGGCGACGAG